AAAAAACUUACCUGCCUGGCUCCUGUGUUUUAAGAAACAAAACAAAACAAUAUGUGUGUUUUAUGUCAAUCAUAUAAAAAGAAAUGCAACAUUCAUUAAAAAAAAAACACACAACAACACUUAAACUUCUAUUGCAAUACAAGUAAACUUCCUCAACAUAUUAAAAGUCAUUAUGAAAACCUCCACAGCAAACAUCAUCCAUCUCUUGCAGCCCGGGGCCCACCUUCUGCUUGGCACAGCAGCUGGAGCUGGCCUCAGUUGCCCCCUCACGGCUCCACAAUGCCCUUCAGGUCACCAGUCCUUCGAAAAUCACUUCAUUUUUUAAUGCUAUCUACCUGUCCAGGUGGGCCUACAAGUUUGUGAACUCUGGAACAUACAAAAAUAAACCCUUGUUUUCUUUUGG